rnacentral:rRNA from 1 species
GACGAACGCUGGCGGCGUGCUUAACACAUGCAAGUCGAACGGUGAACUCCGCUUGCGGGGGGAUCAGUGGCGAACGGGUGAGUAACACGUGGGCAACCUGCCCUCAGCUCUGGGAUAACUCCAAGAAAUUGGGGCUAUACCGGAUAUGACCGCUGACCGCAUGGUCUGGUGGUGGAAAGAUUUAUCGGCUGGGGAUGGGCCCGCGGCCUAUCAGCUUGUUGGUGGGGUAGUGGCCUACCAAGGCGACGACGGGUAGCCGGCCUGAGAGGGUGACCGGCCACACUGGGACUGAGACACGGCCCAGACUCCUACGGGAGGCAGCAGUGGGGAAUAUUGCGCAAUGGGCGAAAGCCUGACGCAGCGACGCCGCGUGGGGGAUGACGGCCUUCGGGUUGUAAACCUCUUUCAGCAGGGACGAAGCGAAAGUGACGGUACCUGCAGAAGAAGCACCGGCCAACUACGUG